UAUUAGAAAGAAUACCAAUUGCGAAGGCAGCUUUCUGGAUCACUACUGACACUGAGGAACGAAAGCAUGGGUAGCGAAGAGGAUUAGAUACCCUCGUAGUCCAUGCCGUAAACGAUGUGUGUUAGACGUUGGAAAUUUAUUUUCAGUGUCGCAGCGAAAGCGAUAAACACACCGCCUGGGGAGUACGACCGCAAGGUUAAAACUCAAAUGAAUUGACGGGGACCCGCACAAGUAGUGGAGCAUGUGGUUUAAUUCGAAGAUACGCGCAGAACCUUACCAACACUUGACAUGUUCGUCGCGACUUUGAGAGAUCAAAGUUUUCGGUUCGGCCGGACGAAACACAGGUGCUGCAUGGCUGUCGUCAGCUCGUGUCGUGAGAUGUUGGGUUAAGUCCCGCAACGAGCGCAACCCUCACUUUUAGUUGCCAUCAUUGAGUUGGGCACUCUGAAAGAACUGCCAGUGAUAAGCUGGAGGAAGGUGGGGAUGACGUCAAGUCCUCAUGGCCCUUACGUGUUGGGCUACACACGUGCUACAAUGGUAUCUACAACAGGAAGCGAGACUGCGAGGUUAAGCAAAUCCUAAAAAGAUACCUCAGUUCGGAUUGCACUCUGCAACUCGAGUGCAUGAAGCUGGAAUUACUAGUAAUCGUGGAUCAGCGUGCCACGGUGAAUGCGUUCCCGGGCCUUGUACACACCGCCCA
rnacentral:rRNA from 1 species